UGGGGAAUCUUGCGCAAUGGGCGAAAGCCUGACGCAGCAACGCCGCGUGGGGGAUGAAGGCUCUCGGGUUGUAAACCCCUUUCAGGAGGGACGAAAAUGACGGUACCUCCAGAAGAAGCCCCGGCCAACUACGUGCCAGCAGCCGCGGUAACACGUAGGGGGCGAGCGUUGUCCGGAUUUAUUGGGCGUAAAGAGCUCGUAGGCGGUUUGGCAAGUCGGGUGUGAAAUUUCGAGGCUCAACCUCGAAACGCCACUCGAUACUGCCAUGACUGGAGUCCGGUAGAGGAGUGCGGAAUUCCUGGUGUAGCGGUGAAAUGCGCAGAUAUCAGGAGGAACACCAACGGCGAAGGCAGCACUCUGGGCCGGUACUGACGCUGAGGAGCGAAAGCGUGGGGAGCAAA
rnacentral:rRNA from 1 species